AUUCCAGCUCCAAUAGCGUAUAUUAAAGUUGUUGCGGUUAAAAAGCUCGUAGUUGGAUUUCUGCCGAGGAUGACCGGUCCGCCCUGUGGGUGUGCAUCUGGCUCAGCCUUGGCAUCUUCCUGAAGAACGUAGCUGCACUUGACUGUGUGGUGCGGUAUUUAGGACAUUUACUUUGAGGAAAUUAGAGUGUUUCAAGCAAGCGCACGCUUUGAAUACAUUAGCAUGGAAUAAUAAGAUAGGACCUCGGUUCUAUUUUGUUGGUUUCUAGAGCUGAGGCAAUGAUUGAUAGGGAUAGUUGGGGGUGCUAGUAUUUUGCGGCCAGAGGUGAAAUUCUGUGAUUCGCGAAAGACUAACUUAUGCGAAAGCAUUCACCAAGGAUGUCUUCAUCA
rnacentral:rRNA from 1 species